rnacentral:lncRNA from 1 species
AUCCGCCAGCCAAACGAGCUCUACCGGAGGAGUCCCAAGACUUGGUUUAUGGAAAUUAAUAAAAUACCGUAUUGUGGGCCCAAUAGAUUGCUCCCAUUGUCAUAAAGAAAGACCAAGCCCUGGCGGAGGGAUAAGAAAGACAGUGUGGGUAUGGGCCAAUUACAAAAGCAAUUAUUUCUCCGCGAAUUAAAAGCGACGAAAUACAUCCGCGUCUUGUUCUUCCUUUGUUGGUGUUUUAGGAUGCGUUUGGAUAAAAAAAUUCAGUAGAUUAAUAAAAAAAGACAACAAUUUAGCUCAACUUAGUGGUUUUUUAUAUGGAUGAACGUUUAAUUAUGGCAGCGUAUAAGAUGAACGAUUUUGAUUAUCUCCAUCUCAAGGGUGAGCUCCACUAGGAGAGUUGGAGAUGGAUGAAGAGAUAGAGGUCGAGGAUGAGAGUUUGGUAGCAUUCUCUAAAAAAAUUAUUAACAAAGUUAAAUUGUGUUUUUAGAUUAUACCAAUUAAAAAAUUGAUAAUAUUUUUCAUGUUUUAAUCUGAGUUUUAAACCAAAAAAAACAAAAAAUUUUUUUUUAAAAAAAGUUUUAAAAAAGUAAAACUCUAAAUUAAAAGAUAAGUUUGUCAUAUUUUUUUAUAAAAAUUAACUACGAAAAAAUCUUAACAUAGUUUUAAAAGUAAAAAACAAAAAUAAAAUAAAAUUAGUGAUUGUAUAUAUCAGAGACUGCAGUGAAAUUUAUCCUUAUUUUAAUUAACAGAAAUGCUACAGUCACCGAUAGUUUUACCGAUUUUUUAUAGAUAGAACCAAAAUGACGUCGUUUUGAUGCAAAAAAUUUCAAAACGACGUCAGUCAACUAAAGUGAUUCUUACUGGGAAAAAACUAAAAAGCCCUUUUAAUACCAAAACGACGUCAUUUUGGUUCUAUCGGUGAAACCACCGGUCACUGUAGCCUUUCUGUUUAAUUAAUUAAAAGCCGCAAUACGUUAUUGGUGGAGGACAACACAAAAGACCAAGACAUUAGGGCAGUGGAGGACCAAGACUUGGUGGAGGGUAAAUUAAUAUAUAAAAAAAAAAUAGUAUUGUGGGCCCAGUAGAAAGUCAUAAUCGCUCCCAUUUUCAUAUAGAAAGACCAAGACUUUGGGACGGCUAAAAGACGGGAUGAGUGGGGACAAAAGAAAAAACACAAUUAUUUCUCUGCGUGAAGAAACGCAUAAAAAACACAAAACACAUCCGCCUCUGUUUUUCUAUCGUAGUUUUUUCAUGAUGGGGUUGGAUUAAAAAUUCAGUAGAUUAAAAAAAAAGAUAGAAAAAUUUAUGAAAAAAAUUUUUCUGGAGGCAAAUUUAACUCAAUUUGUCGUAUAAUUUAUUCCAAAUCGAACCUAAUUUAUUAUGACACAUAUAAGGUGUACGGUUCAAAUCAUCCACAGAUCAUUGAAUUCACAACAAAUUAUGAAAGGAAACGAAUGAAAAUUAAUUACUUGGAAGCAAGGGAGAAACAAUUGGAGAGCCACAACGUUUGACUUGAGAUGGAGAUGGAGUACUUGGAUAACAACUGGAGAGGGAGAAUUUGAGACAAUUGAAAGAGGAGAGAAUCGCACAAGCUGACAUGUGUGUAAAGAGAAGUGGUGGCAAAUUAUAGUGAAAGAUGAAAUUUAAUAAAUUGAGAUUUUUAGGCAGAGCAGUCUAUGAGAGAUAUUAAGGUAUGAGUGUAGAGGUGAUGAGUUGAUACUAUGAUCUAAAAUGGAGGAAGAAAUAGAGAUGGGUUAGAAGGAUCUCCAACUCACCUUCUAAUCUUCAUCUUAGAGGAUUGGGAGCUCGAACCUACUCUCUAAACACUUAUGUAGUAAAGUGGACGAUCAUUUGAUACUCUAUAUUUAAAGAUGACUUAUAUUCUUUAUACUUUCUUUAUUGGAUUUUGAAAAAGUAUAUGUAUAAAUAUAUAAAUUUAAUAAUUAUAAAAUUAGUAUUAUUGAAAAGAGAUCGCCAGUACCUUUAAAUGAGAUAUAAUUUUUUAAAAUUGAUAAUAUGUUGCACAAUAAAUUAUUUAUACUUUAUUUUUCAAGUAUAUUUAGAUUAACAACACUUAAACAAUAAAAUAUUUAAAUUAAAAAAAUUGAUGAUAACAAAAUUUUAUUUAUUUUAAUGUGUAUAUUAAGAAAAAAUUAAAGUAUUAAUCAAAAUGAAAGUUUAUUCUUUUUACACAAAAAUUAGCUCCGAUAGAAUCUUAAUAUUAAGUUUAAAAGUAAGAGAUAUUAGUGAUAUAUCUAAAAUUAAUAAAAUUUUAGAUAUUUUAUUUUUUAACUGUAUUUUUUAAAAAUUUAAUUAAUUAAAAGCCACGAGACAUUAGUGGAGGAGGACCAAAACUUGGCGGAUGGCAAUUAAUAAAAUAUAUUAUUGUGGCCCAAUAAUAUAAUAACUGAUUCCCAUUUUCAUAAGAUAAAUCUACAGUGACCGAUGAGUGUACUCGAAAUUAUUUACCGAAUGAGCAAAUGACGUCGUUUUUGGUGGU